UACGGAGGGUGCAAGCGUUAUCCGGAUUCACUGGGUUUAAAGGGUGCGUAGGUGGGUUGGUAAGUCAGUGGUGAAAUCCCCGAGCUUAACUUGGGAACUGCCAUUGAUACUAUCAGUCUUGAAUACCGUGGAGGUCAGCGGAAUAUGUCAUGUAGCGGUGAAAUGCUUAGAUAUGACAUAGAACACCGAUUGCGAAGGCAGCUGGCUACUCGGAUAUUGACACUGAGGCACGAAAGCGUGGGGAUCAAACAGG
rnacentral:rRNA from 1 species